rnacentral:ribozyme from 1 species
CAGCAUGAAUGAUAAAGAUAAAGCCGACAAGAGUGAGUACAAAAAAAAGAAAAAAAGGCAAAGAAUAGUGAUGUGUGUAUGUGUAUGUAUGUGUGCAUGUAUAUGUGUAUGUGUGUGCGUUUAUAUGUACUUGUGUGUGUGUGUGUGUAUAUAUA